rnacentral:rRNA from 1 species
CGGCGGCGGGUGAGUAACGCGUGGGUAACCUACCCUGUACACACGGAUAACAUACCGAAAGGUAUGCUAAUACGGGAUAAUAUAUUUGAGAGGCAUCUCUUGAAUAUCAAAGGUGAGCCAGUACAGGAUGGACCCGCGUCUGAUUAGCUAGUUGGUAAGGUAACGGCUUACCAAGGCGACGAUCAGUAGCCGACCUGAGAGGGUGAUCGGCCACAUUGGAACUGAGACACGGUCCAA